UAGUAAAACUAGUGAGUAGUGUUUAAAUGUAAUAACCGUCCAUUUCAAGUUGAGACAUUGAAUUGGAAAUGGCGUCAGCCUUGCAAAUGUACUGUAGUGGUUUAAGGUCACAAACGCUUUUGAAGAACCUUUGUUGACGAAAAUUGAUUUUCCCAUUGUCCUUAAAGGUGUUAUAUGCCAUUACAUGAUAAAUGAUAUUGUCUUAUAUCACAGUUUUACAGAUAAUUUACUGUGGUUAUAUUCACUUUUAUUCUUGUCCUAGAUCUGGAUUACAGCAGUGAAGCAGGGGGUGAAAGCUGGCACUUUCUUCUGGCCUGUGUCCAUCCCGUUGGAGAGGAGAGUGCUGACCAUGCUACAAUGGCUUCAUCUGCCAGACGGAGAGAGGUAAAGUCAGCUUCUUUUAUCCUCUUCUUUAGGCUGUUACUAUCUGCAAUGAUAUACCAGCAGUGAAACACCCAUCCUCUACAUGCAUCCAAGAUGGCCGCACUAUGCUUAGCAGCAAUCUCCAUCUGAUUUUGAGUAAGUAACUUUGCUGCCAUAUCCUAGCCCUGUAUUUGAGACCUGGGGGUGGUAGAGGAUACACACGGCCAACCUAAGAUUCCCUUCCACCUGUGUUGUUUCAGGCCGUAUGUUUACGCCAUGCACUCCGAGCAGCCGGACACGUUUGGCCACAAGCUGGGGCCCAUGAGCACUGAGGUGAGCUGGAGGCUGGGGGCU
rnacentral:lncRNA from 13 species